rnacentral:rRNA from 1 species
GACGAACGCUGGCGGCGUGCUUAACACAUGCAAGUCGAACGGAAAGGCCCUGCUUUUGUGGGGUGCUCGAGUGGCGAACGGGUGAGUAACACGUGAGUAACCUGCCCUUGACUUUGGGAUAACUUCAGGAAACUGGGGCUAAUACCGGAUAGGAGCUCCUGCUGCAUGGUGGGGGUUGGAAAGUUUCGGCGGUUGGGGAUGGACUCGCGGCUUAUCAGCUUGUUGGUGUGGUAGUGGCUUACCAAGGCUUUGACGGGUAGCCGGCCUGAGAGGGUGACCGGCCACAUUGGGACUGAGAUACGGCCCAGAAUCCUACGGGAGGCAGCAGUGGGGAAUAUUGCACAAUGGGCGGAAGCCUGAUGCAGCAACGCCGCGUGCGGGAUGACGGCCUUCGGGUUGUAAACCGCUUUCGCCUGUGACGAAGCGUGAGUGACGGUAAUGGGUAAAGAAGCACCGGCUAACUACGUG